ACCAUGGUGUUUACCUUCUCAAUCGUUGAAAGUGAGAGAACGAACUACACAAACAGACAGAAGUGAGAAGAGGUUAAUGUUCACAGGACAGGAUACCAGCAGAAAUGAAAACGAGGAACAGCCACUGCCUGAGGCUACUGUGCACAAUCCAACUGAAACAAUAGUGAUUAAUGAGGAGUCCUUCCUGCAAUGUAUUGACCAAGCUACGACUAGUGAAGAACAUCUGAUUUUCCCUGUUGUGGAAGAAUUCAGUCCAUCACAAGCACUCUCUUCAUAAUGCAUCUACUGGUAACUGCAUUGUGAACAACCCUGACACUGCAACUGCUCUGCCCACAGCUACUAGUAAAACAAAUUCUGUCUACCAAACCACAGAAAACCAAGCAAUCAAAACCAAUCUAUUCAACAGCAUCACAAUUUGAAGAGAAUUACAAGUAAAGUACCUUGCUCAAGAGUACCGCAGCAGUGUCCCCCACCUGGGAUUGAACCCACAACCCUCUGAUCAAGAGUCCUGAGCCCUAACCACUACUCCAUACUGCUGCUGUAGGUAAUUAGAAGACAUUACACAGAACUUCUCAUGAAUGGGCCACCCAAUUUGGACAAGGAUGAACAGUACAUUGAAGAUUGCCUAGACCCCUUGCAAAGCAAUGAGUGGAACAGGUUUAAAGGGGGACUAGGUGUGCUUGAUGCAAUGACUGCGCAUCCUGAGCUGUUCAAGAAUGCAUUCAUCUGGGAGAAGGUAGUGAUGACUUCAGAAAUUAUGGACAGUCUCUUCCAAAUCACCUACAGUCCAGUGGGAAGCAAUAGGAGAAUACUUCAAGAGAAACUUAUUGGCUACUGACGAGAAUUUCUACAGGAUUGUGAAGAGGAGGAAUGCAGCACCCAGCUACCAGAUGUUCUGUCUUUUGUGACUACAGCAAACCUAAUUCCACCACUUGGUUUCGGUCCUCAACCUUCAAUUGAGUUUAUCCAAAGUAAGGAUGGGAAUGGUUCCCUACGGGAUGCCUUCCCGCUCCCAGCUCCGGAGGUCUGUGCCUCACCUCUUGCGAGGGCUGCACCAGACCAGUCAGGGAACCCUUUACAAUCUCGCCUUUCUGUCCUAAGCUGUUGGACUAUUCCUAUCGCCCAGAGAGGCACUUCUGCCAAGCAGAGCCCUUUUAUAUGUUUUCAGAUCCUCGGGAACGUGACCUUCGACCAACCUCUGUCCUCGGCAAUAGGAGAGCUCGUUGGUCGUGAUUUCUUUUCUAUCCUAAUUUCAAGCCCGGGCCGCUCUAAGCCCGCACCUUAUUCCGAGCUACGGGCUCAUUCCCCUAUCCUUGGCCAAGCAUCCUCCACUCAAUACUGUCUUAGUAACCUCUAAUUUCUGCUUCCUCUGUUCUAUUCUUACAGCCCCAGCAUGAUGAUUUAUUUAUUUGUAAUGUCAGAGCAUUUCCUGCAUUUUUUUCUUUAAGUGUUCAAAUAUUUGACAGCCUGAUUUUUUUUUUUUUUUUUGCAUUAUUUGUUUUAACAAUUGGGGUAUGUUAACUUUUGACUUUUGUAUAGGAAUCGCCAAAGUGUAUUACAUUUUUAUUAACCCUUUCAAAUGCUGGUACCUUAGGUUUGUCUUCAUUUUACAUAGUUUGUCAGUGAUAUAACAAAUUGGGCACGUGCUAUGAUGGUUUUAAUGAUGUUAUUAAAACUGUAAAGUAUGAUUUAAAAUAUGUGGCCACUGAAAUAAACACAUUUUGCCUUUUAU